GUUCAUCCACCUUGCAGGCGAGACCCUAUCAAUAUUGCCUCUGCUUUUUGAACUGUAACUGGAGUAGUGCAAUAUUGCUUAUAGGGUCUUGACUUUGAGGAAAA
rnacentral:pre_miRNA from 1 species